AGAGUUUGAUCCUGGCUCAGAACGAACGCUGGCGGCGUGCCAAAUACAUGCAAGUCGAACGAGAAAGUGUAGCAAUACAUUAGUAAAGUGGCAGACGGGUGAGUAAUACAUAGGUAACCUACCUCUAUAUUGGGGAUAACCUUCCGAAAGGAGGGCUAAUACCGAAUGAGACCACAGGGACACAUGUCCAAGGGGUUAAAGACGGCCUCUACUUGUAAGCUGUCGUAUAGAGAAGGGCUUAUGCACCAUUAGCCUGUUGGUGAGGUAACGGCUCACCAAAGCUACGAUGGUUAGCUGAUCUGAGAGGUUGAUCAGCCACACUGGAACUGAGACACGGUCCAGACUCCUACGGGAGGCAGCAGUAGGGAAUAUUGCGCAAUGGAGGAAACUCUGACGCAGCGACGCCGCGUGGGUGAUGAAGGCCUUCGGGUCGUAAAGCCCUGUCGAAAGGGAAGAAACAUAUUAUGGCUAAUAUCCAUAGUACUUGACGGUACCUUUAGAGGAAGCACCGGCUAACUACUUGCCAGCAGCCGCGGUAAUACGUAGGGUGCGAGCGUUGUUCGGAAUCAUUGGGCGUAAAGCGAGAGUAGGUGGUUUGCUAAGUCGGGUGUGAAAUCCCUGGGCUCAACCCAGGAAGUGCAUUCGAAACUAGCUGGCUAGAAGAUGGUAGAGGAAGGUGGAAUUCCAAGUGUAGAGGUGAAAUUCGUAGAUAUUUGGAGGAAUACCGGCGGCGAAGGCGGCCUUCUGGACCAUUCUUGACACUGAGACUCGAAAGCGUGGGUAGCAAACAGGAUUAGAUACCCUGGUAGUCCACGCCGUAAACGAUGGGUACUAGGUGUUGCGGGAAUUGACCCCUGCAGUGCCGAAGCUAACGCAUUAAGUACCCCGCCUGGGAAGUACGGCCGCAAGGUUAAAACUCAAAGGAAUUGACGGGGGCCCGCACAAGCGGUGGAGCAUGUGGUUUAAUUCGAUGCGACGCGAAGAACCUUACCUGGGUUAGACAAUAGAGGACCGCCGUAGAGAUACGGUUUUCCCUUCGGGGACCUCUAGUUUAGGUGCUGCAUGGCUGUCGUCAGCUCGUAUCGUGAGAUGUCGGGUUAAGUCCCUUAACGAGCGCAACCCCUAUCCCUAGUUGCCACCAUUAAGUUGGGCACUCUAUGGAGACCGCCGGUGUUAAACCGGAGGAAGGCGGGGAUGACGUCAAGUCCUCAUGGCCUUUAUGUCCAGGGCUACACACGUGCUACAAUGGCAGGUACAAAGGGUUGCCAACCCGCGAGGGGGAGCUAAUCUCAUAAAGCCUGUCUCAGUUCGGAUCGAAGUCUGCAAUUCGACUUCGUGAAGCUGGAAUCGCUAGUAAUCGCGGAUCAGAACGCCGCGGUGAAUACGUUCCCGGGCCUUGUACACACCGCCCGUCACACCACGAAAGUUAACUGCACCAGAAGUCGCCGUGCUAACCGUAAGGAGGCAAGCGCCCAAGGUUUGGUUGAUGAUUGGGGUGAAGUCGUAACAAGGUAGCCGUAGGGGAACCUGCGGCUG
rnacentral:rRNA from 1 species